ACCCCAUGUUCGUCUUUUAAAUGAUCUGAAACAUAAUUCUGGGGGAAGUAUAUUUUAACACAUGUGCCCCCUCAUUAGAAAUAUUUAGGAACUAUAAUUUGCAUUUCGAAUGUUGGCUUUAAGCUGGUGUGUCUUCCUAACUUUGAAGCUCUUUGCUGAUUUGCUUUUAUUUUUAACAGUUUCACACAUGCAUUUCCUGAGUUUGGCACAUUUUCACACCCCUACCCUGUCACCCCUUCUCAUUCUCAUUCAUAGUCUGUCCCAUGGAAACUGCUUUCCCAACAAGCUCGCUUCUACUCGAUGUCAUGGUUUUUCCAUCCACUGAGUUUAAUUAUGGUUGCUGGCACAAGGAUGAGUGGCCGGCUAAUUUCUAGAAAGUGGACACGUAUGAGCGGCUACAUCACAGAAGAAGAUGACAUUCUCUCCUCCAGUUCUCAUUUACAGUCAGUGGGAGGCAUCGCAUCUAAGCUGCGACCUGGGCCCGGAUGUGAGGAAUACGCUUCGGUCUGCACUAGCGCUAAAACCACGGAGAGCAGUGACGUCAAGUCUUGAGGCUACGGUGUGAAUCGGAAGUUUUUCGCUGAUGGGGAUUGAUGGGUUGGUGGAAGUGCUGGUGACACGAGAAUCUGUUUCUAAGAAGAUGUGGUUUCGUAAUGGAGAGCUACAUAAUAUGGCCAAAUUUGGGGCACACAGCAGCGUUCCACAGUUAUCGCUCUUCAUUUCCUGGAUGUAAUACAUCAGAGGAAAAUUCUGCAGUCCAUCCUCAGCGAGGGUUGAUGUGAUACAAUGCAAGUCUUGCUUUGGUUAUAAAUGAAGAUUAAUAGAAGAUAACAUUGGGAUGCUGUGUUCAGAUAUGUUAUAUCUGAAACUCCAGUUUCUUAAACUGUGGGUGGCAGCCUUAUUUUGGGUUUCAUAACUCAAAGCGGGAGUCACAAAAAUGUUCUCAAAAGUAAAUGUUUCUAAAUGCACAAUGACAAGAAAAUUAAUUCAAAAUAAGACAUAAAAGAAAUCUUAGCUUUCUGGCAGUGCUCACCCACAUUGCAUUUUGUAAAUUUAUUGUACCUUUAACUCUCAAUAAAUAAUGUGCACUUUACACUGCA